GACGAACGCUGGCGGCGUGCUUAACACAUGCAAGUCGAACGGAAAGGCCUGCUUUCCCUUGUGGAUUGCGGGUACUCGAGUGGCGAACGGGUGAGUAACACGUGAGUGAUCUGCCCCCAACUUGGGUAUAAGCCUGGGAAACUGGGUCUAAUUCCCGAUAGGACUGCAGGGUGGUGCCUGUGGUGGAAAACGAUUUUCUAGUGGUUGGGGAUGAGCUCGCGGCCUAUCAGCUUGUUGGUGGGGUAAUGGCCUACCAAGGCGGCGACGGGUAGCCGGCCUGAGAGGGUGGACGGCCACAUUGGGACUGAGAUACGGCCCAGACUCCUACGGAAGGCAGCAGUGGGGAAUAUUGCACAAUGGGCGGAAGCCUGAUGCAGCGACGCCGCGUGGGGGUUGACGGCCUUCGGGUUGUAAACUCCUUUCGACCGCGAGGAAGCCACCUGGUUGGAAGGGUGGUGACGGUAGUGGUAGAAGAAGCACCGGCUAACUACGUG
rnacentral:rRNA from 1 species